rnacentral:rRNA from 1 species
GUGGGGAAUCUUGCGCAAUGGACGAAAGCCUGACGCAGCCAUGCCGCGUGAAUGAUGAAGGUCUUAGGAUUGUAAAAUUCUUUCACCGGGGACGAUAAUGACGGUACCCGGAGAAGAAGCUCCGGCUAACUUCGUGCCAGCAGCCGCGGUAAUACGAAGGGGGCUAGCGUUGCCCGGAAUUACUGGGCGUAAAGGGCGCGUAGGCGGACAGCUUAGUCAGAGGUGAAAGCCCAGGGCUCAACCUUGGAAUUGCCUUUGAUACUGGCUGUCUUGAGUUUGGGAGAGGUGAGUGGAACUCCGAGUGUAGAGGUGAAAUUCGUAGAUAUUCGGAAGAACACCAGUGGCGAAGGCGACUCACUGGCCCAAUACUGACGCUGAGGCGCGAAAGCGUGGGGAGCAAACAGGAUUAGAAACCCGGGUAGUCC